AAUCUUGGUCACUGGGGGAAACCCUGAUCCAGCCAUCCCGCGUGUAUGAUGAAGGCCUUCUGUUUGUCCAGUACUUUUGCCAGCGAAGAAAAGGUAUCUCCUAAUACGCGCUACUCCUGACGGUAUCUGCAGAAUAAGCACCUGCUAACUACGGUCCAGCAACCGCGGUAAUACGUAGGGUGCAAGCGUUAAUCGGAAUUACUGGGCCUAAAGCGUGUGUAGGCGGUUCGGAAAGAAAGAUGUGAAAUCCCAGGGCUCAACCUUGGAACUGCAUUUUUAACUGCCGAGCUAGAGUAUGUCAGAGGGGGGUAGAAUUCCACGUGUAGCAGUGAAAUGCGUAGAUAUGUGGAGGAAUACCGAUGGCGAAGGCAGCCCCCUGGGAUAAUACUGACGCUCAGACACGAAAGCGUGGGGAGCAAACAG
rnacentral:rRNA from 1 species